GACGGAGGGUGCAAGCGUUGUUCGGAAUUACUGGGCGUAAAGCGCGCGCAGGCGGUCUUUUAAGUCCUUUGUGAAAUCCCGGAGCUCAACUCCGGAUAUGCAGUGGAUACUGGAAGACUAGAGACCAGUAGAGGCUAGCGGAAUUCCUGGUGUAGCGGUGGAAUGCGUAGAUAUCAGGAGGAACAUCAGUGGCGAAGGCGGCUAGCUGGGCUGGGUCUGACGCUCAUGUGCGAAAGCGUGGGGAGCAAACAGG
rnacentral:rRNA from 1 species